AUUUGCUCUAUGCUCCUUCAUCGGUUAACAUGUGUGUAUAUAUUAUUUUACGAAGAAAUAUGAUUAAAGAAGGGUAGCAUUGAAUAAAAAAGCGAACAACUUAAUUAUACUCUUCUUAUUGUUGUAUCUACUUCAGAACGAGCAAGAGACAAGUAAGUAUAUUGGAUUUGGUAAGGAAGAGGAAGAAGCAGCAGAAACAGAGGUUCUUGAGAGAUGGCCUGAAGAAGCUAGCUUUAAAGAGUGCCAAUGUCAUAAAAGGAGGUCUUAUGGCCAGUGCACGCAGGGUUAAGUCAGGCGAAAGAAGAAAUUAAAAGAAAAGAUGCUAGAUUAGCUGAAUGUUAGUGAGAUGAAACACGUAUGAAGGUCUUCAAUAAGUGAGAGUUGCUGUAAUGGAGAUAACAGAUAUUCAGUUAGAAGAGACGUGUCGGCGAUGCGAGUGACAUUGAAAAGAUGGAUUUCAUCUUGCCAUUUUCAACUUAUAGAAAAGGAAUCAUUUCAUCAUGUCGGUUUGCAAAAUAAUCAAGCUCUGAGAUAUGAUUAUGUGAAGUUCGUUGAUUCCUUUCGACUUAAAAAGCUCAUUGAUUCGAAUCAGUUCGGAAGUUCUUUUUCUUUUUACCGCAGACAGUAGAAAAUAAUUUAGCAAAUAAAAAAAAAGACAAGAAAAUAAACAUGAUUUCAUGGACGUACGCCAUUUUACAGAGCAACACUCCAAUCCUUUCUUUUAUCUCUGCUUCUGAGUUGAAAUAAUUUUCCGCUCGACGAUUUAAAAACCUUUCCGUAUUUCUAGUAAAUUUUUAAGGCAAUUAAGAUCUUCA